rnacentral:rRNA from 1 species
UACGGAGGAUGCGAGCGUUAUCCGGAUUUAUUGGGUUUAAAGGGUGCGCAGGCGGAGGUGCAAGUCAGCGGUCAAAUUGCGGGGCUCAACCCCGGCGAGCCGUUGAAACUGCCGUGCUAGAGAGGAAGAGAAGUAGGCGGAAUGCGCAGUGUAGCGGUGAAAUGCUUAGAUAUUGCGCAGAACUCCGAUUGCGAAGGCAGCCUACCGGCGCUCAACUGACGCUCAUGCACGAAAGCGUGGGUAUCGAACAGG